ACGGGAGGCAGCAGUAGGGAAUUUUCGGCAAUGGGCGAAAGCCUGACCGAGCAACGCCGCGUGAAGGAAGAAGGAAUUCGUUCUGUAAACUUCUGUCAUAGAGGAAGAACGGUAUAUGUAGGGAAUGACAUAUAAGUGACGGUACUCUAUAAGAAAGCCACGGCUAACUACGUGCCAGCAGCCGCGGUAAUACGUAGGUGGCGAGCGUUAUCCGGAAUUAUUGGGCGUAAAGAGGGAGCAGGCGGCACUAAGGGUCUGUGGUGAAAGCCCGAAGCUUAACUUCGGUAAGCCAUGGAAACCGUAGAGCUAGAGUGUGUGAGAGGAUCGUGGAAUUCCAUGUGUAGCGGUGAAAUGCGUAGAUAUAUGGAGGAACACCAGUGGCGAAGGCGACGAUCUGGCGCACAACUGACGCUCAGUCCCGAAAGCGUGGGGAGCAAAUAGGAUUAGAUACCCUGGUA
rnacentral:rRNA from 1 species